rnacentral:rRNA from 1 species
UACAGAGGUCUCAAGCGUUGUUCGGAUUCAUUGGGCGUAAAGGGUGCGUAGGUGGCGCUGUAAGUCGGGUGUGAAAUUUCGGAGCUUAACUCCGAAACUGCAUUCGAUACUGCGGUGCUUGAGGACUGGAGAGGAGACUGGAAUUCAUGGUGUAGCAGUGAAAUGCGUAGAGAUGUGGAGGAACACCAGUGGCGAAGGCGACUCUUUGGCCUGUAACUGACGCUGAGGCGCGAAAGCGUGGGGAGCAAACAGG